rnacentral:rRNA from 1 species
UACGUAGGUGGCGAGCGUUGUCCGGAAUUAUUGGGCGUAAAGAGCGUGUAGGUGGGAUCAUAAGUCUUUUGUCAAAGUGCGGGGGCUCAACCCCCGUGAUGCGGAGGAAACUGUGAUUCUUGAGUGCCGGAGAGGAAAGCGGAAUUCCCAGUGUAGCGGUGAAAUGCGUAGAUAUUGGGAGGAACACCAGUGGCGAAGGCGGCUUUCUGGGACGGUACUGACGCUGAGACGCGAAAGCGUGGGGAGCGAACAGG